UCCAGAAUAUUGGUAAACAAACAAAUUUACCUGGUAGCGAAGCUGUCACCUUUGCCAGUUAUAAAUUACACACACCUACAGUACCAUGUUACCUGUGUAUGGGAAACAGCAGAUGCAGAGGAAGGCCAACAAAGAUGCUUUAGAGAAACUGUCAAAAGUUCACCCACUUCCUUCACUCAUCCUGCAUUGGCCCAAGAUAAACUCAUCUCUUAUCAAGAAGUGAAGAACAAGGGACAGACUGAUGACAGAGGCUACAUCACCACCACCACCAGAUGACAGAGGCUACAUCACCACCACCACCAGAUGACAGAAGGCUAUAUCACCACCACCAGGUGAGAGAAGGCUACAUCACCACCAUGUCCCAUAAAACAAUUAUAUUUAAUAAUUUCACUAGUUUUUGUGAAAGUAUCUUUCAUAAGGUCAUUGCAUUAAUUUGUAAUUAUAAAAUAGAAUAUGGCAUUAAAGUGUUAUUUGAUUA
rnacentral:lncRNA from 1 species